GUUACAUACAUACAGGUUACAUACAUACAGGUUACAUACAUACAGGUUACAUACAGGUUACAUACAUACAGGUUACAUACAGGUUACAUACAGGUUACAUACAUACAGGUUACAUACAGGUUACAUACAUACAGGUUACAUACAGGUUACAUACAUACAGGUUACAUACAGGUUACAUACAGGUUACAUACAGGUUACAUACAUACAGGUUACAUACAGGUUACAUACAUACAGGUUACAUACAUACAGGUUACAUACAUACAAGUUACAUAUAUACAGGUUACAUACAUACAGGUUACAUACAUACAGGUUACAUACAUACAAGUUACAUAUAUACAGGUUACAUACAUACAGGUUACAUACAUACAGGUUACAUACAUACAGGUUACAUAUAUACAGGUUACAUACAUACAAGUUACAUAUAUACAGGUUACAUACAUACAGGUUACAUACAUACAGGUUACAUACAUACAAGUUACAUAUAUACAGGUUACAUACAUACAGGUUACAUACAUACAGGUUACAUACAUACAGGUUACAUAUAUACAGGUUACAUACAUACAAGUUACAUAUAUACAGGUUACAUACAUACAGGUUACAUACAUACAGGUUACAUACAUACAAGUUACAUAUAUACAGGUUACAUACAUACAGGUUACAUACAUACAGGUUACAUACAUACAAGUUACAUAUAUACAGGUUACAUACAUACAGGUUACAUACAUACAAG